ACCUCCUUCGGGAGGGGAUUAGUGGCGAACGGGUGAGUAACACGUGGGCAAUCUGCCCUGCACUCUGGGACAAGCCCUGGAAACGGGGUCUAAUACCGGAUAUGACACACGACCGCAUGGUCUGUGUGUGGAAAGCUCCGGCGGUGCAGGAUGAGCCCGCGGCCUAUCAGCUUGUUGGUGGGGUAAUGGCCUACCAAGGCGACGACGGGUAGCCGGCCUGAGAGGGCGACCGGCCACACUGGGACUGAGACACGGCCCAGACUCCUACGGGAGGCAGCAGUGGGGAAUAUUGCACAAUGGGCGAAAGCCUGAUGCAGCGACGCCGCGUGAGGGAUGACGGCCUUCGGGUUGUAAACCUCUUUCAGCAGGGAAGAAGCGCAAGUGACGGUACCUGCAGAAGAAGCGCCGGCUAACUACGUGCCAGCAGCCGCGGUAAUACGUAGGGCGCAAGCGUUGUCCGGAAUUAUUGGGCGUAAAGAGCUCGUAGGCGGCUUGUCACGUCGGAUGUGAAAGCCCGGGGCUUAACCCCGGGUCUGCAUUCGAUACGGGCAGGCUAGAGUUCGGUAGGGGAGAUCGGAAUUCCUGGUGUAGCGGUGAAAUGCGCAGAUAUCAGGAGGAACACCGGUGGCGAAGGCGGAUCUCUGGGCCGAUACUGACGCUGAGGAGCGAAAGCGUGGGGAGCGAACAGGAUUAGAUACCCUGGUAGUCCACGCCGUAAACGUUGGGAACUAGGUGUGGGCGACAUUCCACGUCGUCCGUGCCGCAGCUAACGC
rnacentral:rRNA from 1 species